rnacentral:lncRNA from 1 species
GUCCUCACUGGCCUCCAAGUUUUCUAGGAUGAUGCAAUGUCCAGCCAUCAACACAUUUGUGAAGGAAUUUUUACUCCCUAAAAGAGCGCCCCCCCAUGGCAGGAGAAAAAAAGUCCAUUUUUUCUUGUCCCCUAAGGUGAAAAUACACAUUGUUGAGUGUAACACCUGUACGCUUUGGCAAAAUGACACAAAAAUUGACACACACAUGUAUCUCAAUAAGAUCUACGAAAAAGUCAAUGCGCGCGUAUCUGUCAAAUGUACGGUUAAAGGGUUAUUCCGCAUUUUUUGCCGAUCCGCACACAUUGGAAUUUCGCUAACUCCUCCGAAGGCUUUCGUUCCACCGGCACCACAUUUGCUCAGGCCAAUCUACACCCCAUGGCCAUUAAAAGUUAUUCAAAUCAUGACGCUGCAUCCCACGGUUUAGGUUCUAGGGGGCGCCAAAGAUAACCCUAAAAUCCACAUAUUUCAAAGUCUUAUAACUUUUUAUUUUUGUCCUCACUGGCCUCCAAGUUUUCUAGGAUGAUGCAAUGUCCAGCCAUCAACACAUUUGUGAAGGAAUUUUUACUCCCCAAAAGAGCGCCCCCCCAUGGCAGGAGAAAAAAGUCAAUUUUUUCUUGUCCCCUAAGGUGGAAAUUCACAGUAUUGACUGUCACGCCUGUACGCUUUAUCAUAUUGACACAAAAAUUGACACACAUAUGUAUCUCAAUAAGAUCUACAAAAAAGUCAAUUCGCGCGUAUCUGUCAAAUGUACGGUUAAAGGGCUAUUUUGCAUUUUUUGCCGAUUCGCACACAUUGGAAUGUGGCUAACUCCUCCUAAGGCUUUCGUCCCACUGACACCAAAUUUGCUCAGGCCAAUCUACACCCCAUGGCCAUUCAAAGUUGUAAAAAUCAUGACGCUGCACCCCACGGUUUACGUUCUAGGGGGCGCCAAAGAUGACCCAAAAAUCCACAUUCUUAAAAGAAUCCACAUCCCCCCCCCAUGGCAGGAGAAAAAGUCAAGUUUUUCCUGCCCAUCGCUCAAUGGCUCAAUCGCAUCGCUCUCCAGGCAACACCGUAAGGAGGAGCAACCUCGCAUUUCGAUAUAUCAUAGCUGUGUUUGUGCCCUCACUCAUGGUCCAGACUUUUUUCAAAUAGGACAUGAAGUUUGUCUGCAGCGAGUGUUUUGGUAGAAACUGCGCCUCCCAUUCAUUAUAAUGGGAAAUGACCACAGACAAGUGCGCACACCAUCUUUGGUUCUUGAGUGUGACUCGAUCGGGACGGGGAGGCGGUCGCACUGGGGGCGGCGCGACGCGGCUCGGGCCCGACAGUGCCCCACCGGGGCCCUAGUCUUUGUUUCUUUCUUUCUUAGGGCCCGAGCGUAGCUGCUAAGCAGCUGCGAGAGCCCUCUUGUUCCUGAUGGAUUCUUCUUUCGUUAUUUUUCCUCCGCUUUAAACUGGAAAAUGGCCCACUUCCCACUGGCGAAAACUCAGGAAAUUUGGCAGGACGACCGGGCCUGGUGAAAAAUUUGAUAUUCUGAAGUCGCCCAAACAAAAAAAUGAAAAAUGGCUGCAUAGCGCCCCCUAUGGUGAAAACUCACCUGACGCCUGUACACUUUGUCAAAAUGACACAAAAUUUGACACACAUGUGUAUCUCAAUAAGAUCUACAAAAAAGUCAGUGCGGGCGUAUCUGUCAAAUGUACCGUUAAAGGGCUAUUUCGCAUUUUUUGCCGAUCCGCACACAUUGGAAUUUCGCUAACUCCUCCGAAGGCUUUCGUUCCACCGGCACCACAUUUGCUCAGGCCAAUCUACACCCCAUGGCCAUUAAAAGUUGUACAAAUCAUGAUGCUGCACCCCACGGUUUACGUUCUAGGGGGCGCCAAAGAUAACCCAAAAAUCCACAUUCUUAAAAUUCUUAUAACUUUUUAUUUUUGUCCUCACUGGCCUCCAAGUUUUCUAGGAUGAUGCCAUGUCAAGCCAUCAACACAUUUGUGAAGGAAUUUUUACUCCCCAAAAGAGCGCCCCCCCAUGGCAGGAGAAAAAAGUCAAGUUUUUCUUGUCCCCUAACAUGAAAAUACACAUUGUUGAGUGUCACGCCUAAACGCUUUGUCAUAUUGACAAAACAUUUGACAAUCACGUGUAUCUCAAUAAGAUCUACAAAAAAGUCAUAGAGCGCGUAUCUGUAUAAUGUACGGUUAAAGGGCUAUUUUGCAUUUUUUGCCGAUCCGCACACAUUGGAAUUUCGCUAACUCCUCCGAAGGCUUUCGUUCCACCGGCACCAAAUUUGCUCAGGCCAAUCUACACCCCAUGGCCAUUAAAAGUUGUACAAAUCAUGACGCUGCAACCCACGGUGAAGGUUCUAGGGGGCGCCAAAGAUAACCCAAAAAUCCACAUUCUUAAAAGUCUUAUAACUUUUUAUUUUUGUCCUCACUGGCCUCCAAGUUUUCUAGGAUAAUGCAAUGUCCAGCCAUCAACACAUUUGUGAAGGAAAUUUUACUCCCCAAAAGAGCGCCCCCCCAUGGCAGGAGAAAAAAGUCUAUUUUUUCUUGUCCCCUAAGGUGAAAAUACACAUUGUUUAGUGUCACGCCUGUACGCUUUGGCAAAAUGACACAAAUAUUAACACACACAUGUAUCUCAAUAAGAUCUACGAAAAAGUCAAUGCGCGCAUAUCUGUCAAAUGUACGGUUAAAGGGUUAUUCCGCAUUUUUUGCCGAUCCGCACACAUUGGAAUGUGGCUAACUCCUCCUAAGGCUUUCGUUCCACUGGCACCACAUUUGCUCAGGCCAAUCUACACCCCAUGGCCAUUAAAAGUUAUUCAAAUCAUGACGCUGCACCCCACGGUUUAGGUUCUAGGGGGCGCCAAAGAUAACCCUAAAAUCCACAUAUUUAAAAGUCUUAUAACUUCUUAUUUUUGUCCUCACUGGCCUCCAGGUUUUCUAGGAUGAUGCAAUGUCCAGCCAUCAACACAUUUGUGAAGGAAUUUUUACUCCCCAAAAGAGCGCCCCCCCAUGGCAGGAGAAAAAAGUCCAUUUUUUCUUGUCCCCUAAGGUGAAAAUACAUAUUGUUGAGAUUCACGCCUAUACGCUUUGUCAUAUUGACACAAAAUUUGACAAUCACGUGUAUCUCAAUAAGAUCUACGAAAAAGUCAAUGGGCGUGUAUCUGUCAAAUGUACGGUUAAAGGGCUAUUUUGCAUUUUUUGCCGAUUCGCACACAUUGGAAUGUGGCUAACUCCUCCUAAGGCUUUCGUCCCACUGACACCAAAUUUGCUCAGGCCAAUCUACACCCCAUGGCCAUUCAAAGUUGUAAAAAUCAUGACGCUGCACCCCACGGCUCACGUUCUAGGGGGCGCCAAAGAUGACCCAAAUAUCCACAUUCUUAAAAGAAUCCACAUCCCCCCCCCAUCCCCCAUCCCCCAUGGCAGGAGAAACAGUCAAGUUUUUCCUGCCCAUCACUCAAUGGCUCAAUCGCAUCGCUCUCCCGGCAACACCGUAACAAGGAGCAACUUGCCGUUUGGAUAUAUCCUAGCUGUGUUUGUGGCCUCACUCAUGGUCCAGACUUUUUUCAAAUAGGACAUGUAGUUUGUCUGCAGCGAGUGUUUUGGUAGAAACUGCGCCUCCCAUUCAUUAUAAUGGGAAAUGACCACAGACAAGUGCGCACACCAUCUUUGGACCUUGAGUGUGACGCGAUCGGGAGGGGGAGGCGGUCGCACUGGGGGCGGCGCAACGCGGCUCGGGCCCGCCAGUGCCCCAACGGGGCCCUAGUUAGGGCCCGAGCGUAGCUGCUAAGCAGCUGCGAGAGCCCUCUUGUUCCUGUAGUUUCCUUCUUUUGUUAUUAUUAUUAUUAUUAUUAUUUUUCCUCCCCUUUGAACUGGAAAAUGGCCCACUUCCCACUGGCGAAAACUCAUGAAAUUUGGCAGGACGACCGGGCCUGGUGAAAAAUUUGAUAUUCCGAAGUCGCCCAAACAAGAAAAUGCAAAAUGGCUCCAUAGCGCCCCCUAAGGUGAAAAUUCACACUAUUCACUGUCACGCCGGUACGCUUUGUCAAAAUGACACAAAAAUUGACACACACAUGUAUCUCAAUAAGAUCUACAAAAAAGUCAGUGCGGGCGUAUCUGUCAAAUGUACGGUUAAAGGGUUAUUUCGCAUUUUUUGCCGAUCCGCACACAUUGGAAUUUCGCUAACUCCUCCGAAGGCUUUCGUUCCACCGGCACCACAUUUGCUCAGGCCAAUCUACACCCCAUGGCCAUUAAAAGUUAUUCAAAUCAUGACGCUGCACCUCACGGUUUAGGUUCUAGGGGGCGCCAAAGAUAACCCUAAGAUCCACAUAUUUAAAAGUCUUAUAACUUUUUAUUUUUGCCCUCACUGGCCUCCAAGUUUUCUAGGAUGAUGCAAUGUCCAGCCAUCAACACAUUUGUGAAGGAAUUUUUACUCCCCAAAAGAGCGCCCCCCAUGGCAGGAGAAAAAAGUCCAUUUUUUCUUGUCCCCUAAGGUGAAAAUACACAUUGUUGAGUGUAACACCUGUACGCUUUGGCAAAAUGACACAAAAAUUGACACACACAUGUAUCUCAAUAAGAUCUACGAAAAAAGUCAAUGCGCGCGUAUCUGUCAAAUGUACGGUUAAAGGGUUAUUCCGCAUUUUUUGCCGAUCCGCACACAUUGGAAUUUCGCUAACUCCUCCGAAGGCUUUCGUUCCACCGGCACCACAUUUGCUCAGGCCAAUCUACACCCCAUGGCCAUUAAAAGUUAUUCAAAUCAUGACGCUGCACCCCACGGUUUAGGUUCUAGGGGGAGCCAAAGAUAACCGUAAAAUCCACAUAUUUAAAAGUCUUAUAACUUUUUAUUUUUGUCCCCACUGGCCUCCAAGUUUUCUAGGAUGAUGCAAUGUCCAGCCAUCAACACAUUUGUGAAGGAAUUUUUACUCCCCAAAAGAGCGCCCCCCCAUGGCAGGAGAAAAAAGUCCAUUUUUUCUUGUCCCCUAAGGUGAAAAUACACAUUGUUGAGUGCUACGCCUGUAUGUUUUGUCGUAUUGACACAAAAUUUUACAUACACGUGUCUUUCAAUAAGAUCUUCGAAAAAGUCAAUGGCCACGUAUCUGUAAAAUGUACGGUUAAAGGGUUAUUUCGCAUUUUUUGCAGAUUCGCACACAUUGGAAUUUCGCUAACUCCUUUUGAAGGCUUUCGUUCCACCGGCACCACAUUUGCUCAGGCCAAUCUACACCCCAUGGCCAUUAAAAGUUAUUCAAAUCAUGACGCUGCACCCCACGGUUUAGGUUCUAGGGGGCGCCAAAGAUAACCCUAAAAUCCACAUAUUUAAAAGUCUUAUAACUUUUUAUUUUUGUCCUCACUGGCCUCCAUGUUUUCUAGGAUGAUGCAAUGUCCAGCCAUCAACACAUUUGUGAAGGAGUUUUUUCUCGUUAAAAGAGCGCCCCCCCAUGGCAGGAGAAUAAAGUCAAGUUUUUCCUGUUCAUCAUUCAAUGGCUCAAACGCACUGCUCUCUCGGCAAAAGCGAAAGGAGGAGCAACUUGCCAUUUGGAUAUAUCUUAGCUGUGUUUGUGCCCUCACUCAUGGUCCAGACUUUUUUCAAAUAGGACAUGGAGUUUUUCUGCAGCGAGCGUUUUGGUAGAAACUGCGCCUCCCGUUCAUUAUAAUGGUAAAUGACCACAAACAAGUGCGCACACCAUCUUUGGACCUUGAGUGUGACGCGAUCGGGUGGGGGAGGCGGUCGCGCUGGGGGCGGCGCGACACGGCUCGGGCCCGCCAGUGCCCCACCGGGGCCCUAGUUUUUUCUUUUUCCUCCCCUUUGAACUGGAAAAUGGCCCACUUCCCACUGGCGAAAACUCAUGAAAUUUGGCAGGACGACCGGGCCUGGUGAAAAAUUUGAUAUUCUGAAGUCGCCAAAACAAUAAAAUGCAAAAUGGCUCCAUAGCGCCCCCUAAGGUGAAAAUUCACACUAUUCACUGUCACGACUGUACGCUUUGUCAAAAUGACACAAAAAUUGACACACACAUGUAUCUCAAUAAGAUCUACAAAAAAGUCAGUGCGGCCGUAUCUGUCAAAAUUACGGUUAAAGGGUUAUUUCGCAUUUUUUGCCGAUCUGCACACAUUGGAAUUUCGCUAACUCCUCCGAAGGCUUUCGUUCCACCGGCACCACAUUUGCUCAGGCCAAUCUACACCCCGUGGCCAUUAAAAGUUAUCAAAAUCAUGACGCUGCACCCCAAGGUUUAGGUUCUAGGGGGCGCCAAAGAUAACACUAAAAUCCACAUAUUUAAAAGUCUUAUAACUUUUUAUUUUUGUCCUCACUGGCCUCCAAGUUUUCUAGGAUGAUGCAAUGUCCAGCCAUCAACACAUUUGUGAAGGAAUUUUUACUCCCCAAAAGAGCGCCCCCCCAUGGCAGGAGAAAAAAGUCCAUUUUUUCUUGUCCCCUAAGGUGAAAAUACACAUUGUUGAGUGUCACGCCUAUACGCUUUGUCAAAAUGACACAAAAAUUGACACACACAUGUAACUCAAUAAGAUCUACGAAAAAGUCAAUGCGCGCGUAUCUGUCAAAUGUACGGUUAAAGGGUUUUUUCGCAUUUUUUGCCGAUCCGCACACAUUGGAAUGUGGCUAACUCCUCCUAAGGCUUUCGUUCCACCGGCACCACAUUUGCUCAGGCCAAUCUACACCCCAUGGCCAUUAAAAGUUAUUCAAAUCAUGACGCUGCACCCCACGGUUUAGGUUCUAGGGGGCGCCAAAGAUAACACUAAAAUCCACAUAUUUAAAAGUUUUAUAACUUUUUAUUUUUGUCCUCACUGGCCUCCAAGUUUUCUAGGAUGAUGCAAUGUCCAGCCAUCAACACAUUUGUGAAGGAAUUUUUACUCCCCAAAAGAGCGCCCCCCCAUGGCAGGAGAAAAAAGUCCAUUUUUUCUUGUCCCCUAAGGUGAAAAUACAUAUUGUUGAGAUUCACGCCUAUACGCUUUGUCAUAUUGACACAAAAUUUGACAAUCACGUGCCUUGCCUGGUAUCAUUUUUUUCAGCACAACCUCACCUGUGCGAAUUUACAGUUAUUUUAUCAUGUUGACAUACUGAAUUUACACAAUGGACCCAAAUUCACACACAAAACAUAAAAUCCGAGUGGAAAAAAGUAACAUUUUUACUGUGAAAACCACAAAUAUGUGUGAUGAACUGUUUUUAAAACUUAAACUUCAAAUAAAAAUUGUAAACUUCAAAACAUAUGCAAAUUUUUAACAAAGAACAUAGUGAUUUACCUCUAUUUACAUCAAAAUGCAGGCAAUGGCCCAGGCGUUCUUUGUAAAAUUAUUUACAAAACACUGUAUAGUCUCACAAAUGUCACUUUUUAUUUAUGCCACUACAAAAAAACAUGAUGUAAAUGAUGCAUGAUGUAAAACAUGAUGUAAAAAACUUGUGUAGAUCCUCCUGUAUGUCAGUCCAUGUGUAAUUUUUCCAUAAUUCUUUGUUUUUUGCAGCAUUUUUGUUAGUGUAACUGCAGAUUGUGCUGACAGUGUCUAUGGCACAAAAAAAAAAAAAUUAAAAUGCCUCAACAUGAACCCCUGGUGGUCUCUGAGGGUGAAACCUGCUAACUGCUGCAGCUCUGUCAGCUUCAGUCUCCCAUGCAGAGCUCUGAGCGCAUGUGUGGCUCUGCACCCUUAGCAGCGUUGCUAACUCCUCAGUAAGGAAAGCCUGCUUCAUGUCAGAGUCUCUAAACUCCAGAAGAAGUCGAUAAAAGUCCCUUUCUUUCUAAAAAAAAGUCGUUAGGGGGUCUGAAAAGUCAUUGAAUCUAACAACAAAGUCGCUAGGUUUGCAACUACGUGUCCCAGACUGCAUCCCUGCUGAGAGUCCCUCCCUCCCUUCUCAUGUUGCAGGAAGAACGUAAGCGCCCUCCCCUUGUCAAUCAGUCACCAUAUAAUUUUGGAUUGGUUGUUGUGGUGAAGUUUUCCACCAAUAGGAGAGAUGUUGUGGUGUGUUUUUUUUUUCUUUUGGCAAGCCUUUUCCGCCUGUAAGACCUGUUGCUAAUGUCUGCAUGCUAUGUUUUCCUGUCUCAUACAGCGCGAUCGAGCGCCGAACGUGAUCAAAAUAAGCAGAAAAAAAGUAUCGCGGACAUAAUUUAUCAUAACUCUGGUUUUAUUUGGCCUAUCAACACAAUUUAAAAACUGGUAUAUAGGUUGAGGUCCUCACUUUUGAGAUAAGUUGAAACGGAGAGUCAACGAGGCUCCGUCUUGCAGCUACAUCCGGUUAAAUAUGUCAUGUGACUUGAACGCACACACAGACACACACACACGCACACACACACACACACACACACACACACACUCAGAGUCUGGUUUUUAGCACCUGCAAAAACAUGCUAUUUACAUAUUUGACAAGAAUGCAGAGGCUCCUUUUGCCCCUGAAAAAAAAAUCAAAUUUCAAACACAACUUGACUGGUCAUUUCUCCAAAAGACAACCAUGAAGCUCCAUCCAAACCUGAAGCAGGCAGUUGGUGCAUGUGUACAGUAACCUGAGGGGAGUGAGGUGAGUGCUUCUGAGGAGAACAUGAGCAGUGAAGAUUCACCUUGGAGCUAGAACAGAGACAUGCACAAGAUUAUACAGGGGCAGGGGCUCAAGUUUUUUCCAGUCGUUUAUACAAUAUAGAAAUUAAUGUGAAAUUAAAACACAAAGUAUUAAUAGAAAGGUAAUGACUGUCCUGUGUAGGUGACAGUGAUAUCCAAUAGGCUAGGCACUCACGAGGCUGGCUGUGGCAAGUGUAAGUGAAAGCAACACGCACUGGCAGGAAGAACAGCAAACGCCGAUGAAGGAAAAGGGUCUUUGCAGUGAUGGGCGUUACAAGAGAGGGCGAUGGCCAGAGGACACAAAUGGGACGGGGAGGCAGCACGUUGGGGGGGGGGGGGCGACACGGCUCGGGCCCGCCAGUGCCCCAACGGGGUCCUAGUUAGGGCCCGAGCGUAGCUGCUAAGCAGCUGCGAGAGCCCUCUUGUUCCUGCAUGUUUCCUUCUUUUGUUAUUAUUAGGGCCCGAGCGUAGCUGCUAAGCAGCUGCGAGAGCCCUCUUGUUCCUGAUGGAUUCUUCUUUCGUUAUUUUUCCUCCGCUUUAAACUGGAAAAUGGCCCACUUCCCACUGGCGAAAACUCAGGAAAUUUGGCAGGACGACCGGGCCUGGUGAAAAAUUUGAUAUUCUGAAGUCGCCCCAACAAAAAAAUGAAAAAUGGCUCCAUAGCGCCCCCUAUGGUGAAAACUCACCUGACGCCUGUACGCUUUGUCAAAAUGACACAAAAUUUGACACACAUGUGUAUCUCAAUAAGAUCUACAAAAAAGUCAGUGCGGGCGUAUCUGUCAAAUGUACGGUUAAAGGGCUAUUUCGCAUUUUUUGCCGAUCCGCACACAUUGGAAUUUCGCUAACUCCUCCGAAGGCUUUCGUUCCACCGGCACCAAAUUUGCUCAGGCCAAUCUACACCCCAUGGCCAUUAAAAGUUGUACAAAUCAUGAUGCUGCACCCCACGGUUUACGUUCUAGGGGGCGCCAAAAAUAACCCAAAAAUCCACAUUCUUAAAAGUCUUAUAACUUUUUAUUUUUGUCCUCACUGGCCUCCAAGUUUUCUAGGAUGAUGCAAUGUCCAGCCAUCAACACAUUUGUGAAGGAAUUUUUACUCGCCAAAAGAGCGCCCCCCCAUGGCAGGAGAAAAAAGUCCAUUUUUUCUAGUCCCCUAAGGCGAAAAUACACAUUGUUGAAUGUCACGCCUGUACGCUUCGUCAUAUUGACACAAAAUUUGACAAUCACGUGUAUCUCAAUAAGAUCUACAAAAAAGUCAGUGCGGGCGUAUCUGUCAAAUGUACGGUUAAAGGGCUAUUUCGCAUUUUUUGCCGAUCCGCACACAUUGGAAUUUCGCUAACUCCUCCGAAGGCUUUCGUCCCACUGACACCAAAUUUGCUCAGGCCAAUCUACACUCCAUGGCCAUUCAAAGUUGUAAAAAUCAUGACGCUGCACCCCAGGGUCUAUGUUCUAGGGGGCGCCAAAGAGGACCCAAAUAUCCACAUUUUUAAAAGUCUUAUAACUUUUUAUUUUUGUCCUCACUGGCCUCCAAGUUUUCUAGGAUGAUGCAAUGUCCAGCCAUCAACACAUUUGUGAAGGAAUGUUUACUCCCCAAAAGAGCGCCCCCCCAUGGCAGGAGAAAAAAGUCCAUUUUUUCUUGUCCCCUAAGGUGAAAAUACACAUUGUUGAGUGUCAUGCCUGUACGCUUUGUCAAAAUGACACAAAAUUCAACACACACGUGUAUCUCAAUAAGAUCUACGAAAAAGUAAAUGCAGGCGUAUCUGUCAAAUGUACGGUUAAAGGGCUAUUUCGCAUUUUUUGCCGAUUCGCACACAUUGGAAUGUAGCUAACUCCUCCGAAGGCUUUCGCUCCACCGGCACCAAAUUUGCUCAGGCCAAUCUACACCCCAUGGCCAUUCAAAGUUGUAAAAAUCAUGACGCUGCAACCCACGGUUUAAGUUCUAGGGGGCGCCAAAGAUGACCCAAAUAUCCAUAUUCUUAAAAGUGUUAUAACAUUUUAUUUUUGUCCUCACUGGCCUCCAUGUUUUCUAGGAUGAUGCAAUGUCCAGCCAUCAACACAUUUGUGAAGGAGUUUUUUCUCGUUAAAAGAGCGCCCCCCAUGGCAGGAGAAUAAAGUCAAGUUUUUCCUGUUCAUCGUUCAAUGGCUCAAACGCAUCGCUCUCUCGGCAAAAGCGAAAGGAGGAGCAACUUGCCAUUUGGAUAUAUCUUAGCUGUGUUUGUGCCCUCACUCAUGGUCCAGACUUUUUUCAAAUAGGACAUGGAGUUUUUCUGCAGCGAGCGUUUUGGUAGAAACUGCGCCUCCCAUUCAUUAUAAUGGUAAAUGACCACAGACAAGUGCGCACACCAUCUUUGGACCUUGAGUGUGACGCGAUUGGGUGGGGGAGGCGGUCGCGCUGGGGGCGGCGCGACACGGCUCGGGCCCGCCAGUGCCCCACCGGGGCCCUAGUUAUUUUUCCUCCCCUUUGAACUGGAAAAUGGCCCACUUCCCACUGGCGAAAACUCAUGAAAUUUGGCAGGACGACCGGGCCUGGUGAAAAAUUUGAUAUUCCGAAGUCGCCCAAACAAGAAAAUGCAAAAUGGCUCCAUAGCGCCCCCUAAGGUGAAAAAUUCACCUGACGCCUGUACGCUUUGUCAAAAUGACACAAAAAUUGACACACACAUGUAUCUCAAUAAGAUCUACAAAAAAGUCAGUGCGGGCGUAUCUGUCAAAUGUACGGUUAAAGGGUUAUUGCGCAUUUUUUGCCGAUCCGCACACAUUGGAAUUUCGCUAACUCCUCCGAAGGCUUUCGUUCCACCGGCACCACAUUUGCUCAGGCCAAUCUACACCCCAUGGCCAUUAAAAGUUAUUCAAAUCAUGACGCUGCACCCCACGGUUUAGGUUCUAGGGGGCGCCAAAGAUAACACUAAAAUCCACAUAUUUCAAAGUCUUAUAACUUUUUAUUUUUGUCCUCACUGGCCUCCAAGUUUUCUAGGAUGAUGCAAUGUCCAGCCAUCAACACAUUUGUGAAGGAAUUUUUACUCCCCAAAAGAGCGCCCCCCCAUGGCAGGAGAAAAAAGUCCAUUUUUUCUUGUCCCCUAAGGUGAAAAUACACAUUGUUGAGUGUCACGCCUGUACGCUUUGUCAAAAUGACACAAAAAUUGACACACACAUGUAUCUCAAUAAGAUCUACAAAAAAGUCAAUGGGCGCGUAUCUGUCA